rnacentral:rRNA from 1 species
GAUGAACGCUGGCGGCGUGCCUAAUACAUGCAAGUCGAGCGAACAGAUAAGGAGCUUGCUCCUUUGACGUUAGCGGCGGACGGGUGAGUAACACGUGGGUAACCUACCUAUAAGACUGGGAUAACUUCGGGAAACCGGAACUAAUACCGGAUAACAUUUGGAACCGCAUGGUUCUAAAGUGAAAGAUGGUUUUGCUAUCACUUAUAGAUGGACCCGCGCCGUAUUAGCUAGUUGGUAAGGUAACGGCUUACCAAGGCGACGAUACGUAGCCGACCUGAGAGGGUGAUCGGCCACACUGGAACUGAGACACGGUCCAGACUCCUACGGGAGGCAGCAGUAGGGAAUCUUCCGCAAUGGGCGAAAGCCUGACGGAGCAACGCCGCGUGAGUGAUGAAGGGUUUCGGCUCGUAAAACUCUGUUAUUAGGGAAGAACAAACGUGUAAGUAACUGUGCACGUCUUGACGGUACCUAAUCAGAAAGCCACGGCUAACUACGUGCCAGCAGCCGCGGUAAUACGUAGGUGGCAAGCGUUAUCCGGAAUUAUUGGGCGUAAAGCGCGCGUAGGCGGUUUCUUAAGUCUGAUGUGAAAGCCCACGGCUCAACCGUGGAGGGUCAUUGGAAACUGGGAAACUUGAGUGCAGAAGAGGAAAGUGGAAUUCCAUGUGUAGCGGUGAAAUGCGCAGAGAUAUGGAGGAACACCAGUGGCGAAGGCGACUUUCUGGUCUGUAACUGACGCUGAUGUGCGAAAGCGUGGGGAUCAAACAGGAUUAGAUACCCUGGUAGUCCACGCCGUAAACGAUGAGUGCUAAGUGUUAGGGGGUUUCCGCCCCUUAGUGCUGCAGCUAACGCAUUAAGCACUCCGCCUGGGGAGUACGACCGCAAGGUUGAAACCCAAAGGAAUUGACGGGGACCCGCACAAGCGGUGGAGCAUGUGGUUUAAUUCGAAGCAAUGCGAAGAACCUUACCAAAUCUUGACAUCCUUUGAAAACUCUAGAGAUAGAGCCUUCCCCUUCGGGGGACAAAGUGACAGGUGGUGCAUGGUUGUCGUCAGCUCGUGUCGUGAGAUGUUGGGUUAAGUCCCGCAACGAGCGCAACCCUUAAGCUUAGUUGCCAUCAUUAAGUUGGGCACUCUAGGUUGACUGCCGGUGACAAACCGGAGGAAGGUGGGGAUGACGUCAAAUCAUCAUGCCCCUUAUGAUUUGGGCUACACACGUGCUACAAUGGACAAUACAAAGGGCAGCUAAACCGCGAGGUCAUGCAAAUCCCAUAAAGUUGUUCUCAGUUCGGAUUGUAGUCUGCAACUCGACUACAUGAAGCUGGAAUCGCUAGUAAUCGUAGAUCAGCAUGCUACGGUGAAUACGUUCCCGGGUCU